CGUCCAAUUGCUUCCCUAUGGCGAAUGUGGGCUUUCCGCGCAGCCAGGAUCGGCAAUCUUUUGGCUGCUACUUCCGUUACUUUAAGACGGUGCCUGAGAUUGGGGGUGGCCAUGGCCAAGAGCAAGUUUGAGUACGUGCGGAAUUUUGAGGUUGAGGACACAUGCCUGCCGCACUGCUGGGUUGUGGUGCGGCUGGACGGCCGGAAUUUCCACCGGUUUGCUGAGAAGCACAACUUUGCCAAGCCUAAUGACAGUCGGGCUCUCCAUCUGAUGACCAAAUGUGCCCAGACAGUAAUGGAGGAGCUGGAGGACAUUGUGAUUGCAUAUGGCCAAAGCGAUGAGUACAGCUUUGUGUUCCGAAAAAAGAGCAAUUGGUUCAAAAGAAGAGCCAGUAAGUUCAUGACUCUUGUGGCCUCCCAGUUCGCCUCCAGUUAUGUGUUUUACUGGCGGGAUUACUUUGAGGACCAGCCCCUCCUGUAUCCCCCAGGAUUUGAUGGAAGAGUCGUGUUGUAUCCUAGCAACCAGACUUUGAAGGACUACCUCAGCUGGCGACAGGCAGACUGUCACAUCAAUAAUCUGUAUAAUACAGUUUUCUGGGCCCUUAUCCAGCAGUCUGGACUAACACCAAUCCAAGCCCAGCAGAGAUUAAAGGGAACUCUGACAGCAGACAAGAAUGAGAUUCUGUUCUCUGAGUUCCACAUCAACUACAACAAUGAGCCACACAUGUACAGGAAAGGGACAGUAUUGGUGUGGCAAAAGGUGAAUGAAGUCAGGACCCAAGAAGUUAGGCUGCCUGCAGAAAUGGAAGGGGAAAAGAUGGCCGUGACUCGGACCAGAACCAGGCUGGUAGCCUUGUACUGUGAUCUCAUUGGGGAUGCCUUCUGGAAGGAACACCCAGAGAUUCUGGAAGAAGAGAACUGAUCUUGCACUCUGCCGCUCUGGCAUGCUUAAUCACGAUGCAGGGCUCCCCCCAACCUCAGGCGGCUUGAGCAUUCUUGGUCCCAAGAACACUACGACAAGAAGAACCCAGAGAGGCUAACCCGAUCCACGUCAGGAAUAUACUUAACAGGAAUGAAAAAUGGGGUAUGUCUUGUCUUCCUGUCCUUUGCCUCCAGCUCAAG